UGUCCAUGGUUAGGACACAUCUUAAUGAGUCCCUGAUACCUCUUCCAGGCAUCAUAUAAGCUCUCCCCAUCAAACUGCACAAAUCUGUUAAUUUUGUCUCUAUGCUG